AAUAUUUAUAUCUUUGGCAAAAAUGUGAAGUAGCAAACGCCAUGAAAAGGAAAGGAGAUGAGAUAUAAAACUAGUGCGAAGGAGCUCCUCCCAUAACUGGAAAAAAAGGUGGUUGCUUUGCUUUGCGAUGAUACGAAGAGUCUCAACAACCUCGUCUCUAUCCGCCACAGCAUUGGGAUCAUUUAUGAAAUGGUCCUUCAAAUCUUCUCAUUUUCACGGCGAGUCCCUCGAUUCCUCUGUCUCUCCCCUUCUCAUCCCCGGCGUCCACGUCUUCCAUUGUCCGGAUGUGGUCGGGAUUGUAGCGAAACUAUCAGAUUGUAUUGCUGCGAAGGGAGGCAACAUUCUUGGUUACGAUGUGUUUGUUCCUGAGAACAAGAACGUCUUCUACUCUCGAAGCGAGUUUAUAUUUGAUCCAGUUAAAUGGCCGAGGAGUCAGAUGGGUGAAGAUUUCGAAACUAUUGCCAGAAAAUUCAAUGCUAUGAGCUCGGUUGUACGAGUGCCCUCUUUAGACCCCAAGUACAAGAUUGCUCUUUUACUCUCUAAACAGGAUCAUUGUCUGGUUGAAAUGUUACAUAAAUGGCAGGACGGGAAGCUUCCCGUCGAUAUAACAUGUGUGAUAAGUAAUCAUGAAAGAGCUCCAAACACUCAUAUUAUGCGCUUUCUCCAGAGGCAUGGCAUCUCCUAUCAUUAUUUGCCAACAACCGAUCAGAACAAGAUAGAGGAGGAGAUUUUGGAGUUGGUCAAGGAUACUGACUUUAUAGUUCUCGCUAGAUACAUGCAGGUACUGUCUGGUAACUUCUUGAAAGGUUAUGGAAAAGAUGUUAUCAACAUACAUCAUGGCCUCCUACCAUCAUUCAAGGGUAGAAGCCCCGCGAAACAGGCAUUUGAUGCAGGUGUGAAGCUAAUUGGUGCAACGACUCACUUUGUUACAGAGGAACUUGAUUCUGGUCCUAUCAUUGAACAAAUGGUUGAGAGAGUUUCACACAGAGACAAUUUGAGGAGCUUUGUUCAAAAAUCAGAGGACCUCGAGAAGAAGUGCCUGAUGAAAGCUAUAAAGUCUUACUGCGAACUGCGAGUAUUGCCUUACGGUACACACAAGACUGUAGUAUUCUGAUACGCUCAAACAUGAAAAGCUCUCACAUGAUUUCUUCAUAUGAACCACUUACAAGUAAGGAUCCUGCAUCAUCUGUGAUUGGUGAGACUUAGAGAUCCCAGCGAGCACUUGGCAGCCUCAAAGCAGUUUACUUGGCGGAGAAGAGACUGUACCCCAUCAACCCAUCUCUGCUUGUGAACCUUGUUCUUGCACUUGAACUCCAAAAGGCCCUGUCCUGUUUUCAGACCAAAGUAGACUUCCUCUGAGUUUUCCCUCUCUUUCCUGUAAGGCCAAGCUGAUUUCUCAUCGCAGACUCCAUAGACAAUGCCUUCAAAAAAAGGACCAGCAAGUUCAGAAUGUCUGUGUUUUCAGGAGGAUUCUAAUCAAAUUUGCUGUACCUGAGACUUCUUGUUGAUAUAGACGCAGACACGCUUAGUUCUCUGCACUCCUGAGAGAAAAAGCACAAGAAAGAAGAGUUAAGCUCUCUGUCUUAUCUCAGUGAGCUUUUUAUUUGAUCAGAGACUUACCAUUUCGCGCGCAUUGCAACAGUUCUCCUUCAAGUGGAAGAUUUGGUUCUUCCAGUCUAAACUGAAAGUUUGCAGGCCAAUGAGAGUCAGAGAAGCUUCUCUCGAAAGGUGUAAUAGCUGCGUUUUUCCUUGCUUCCUUUGGCUGUCUCGCCUUCAGAGCCGCUUCUCCUCUCAAAGCUAGUUUCCAUUCAAAACAAAAUCAGAUCCAACGAAGCCAAAGGCUUGUGAAACUACUACAAAGCCUAGACUAGUUUUCUGAACAAGAGACUUUACCCGUUGCAGCAGCGGCUGUAAGAGUCAUGAGAUCACCAGGGCUGUGGAUGUCAACAGAUGACCUAACCGUGGAAGCAACACGUGCACGGUCAGCACCGGCUCGCUCAGCCAUCUCAACACAGUGUGAGGCCAGCAGUUCUGUGGCUGAGCCCAAAGCCAGAGCCAUCUUGGAGCUUGACCUUUUGCAAUUGCUUACAGAUGUCACAGAGGCUACACCUGCAGCCAGAGCCGCUAUAGAUACUGCAGAAUGCACGUGUGCGUUCUCAACACGCGCCUUGUCUUUCUUCUUGAGAUAGUUGGUGGUGUUGCUGCUGCUGCUGUGUUCCCUGUGGUGGUGAAACCAUUUGGAUAGUGUCCCUGCUCUACGUGUGCCAAACGAGUUCAUAGUCUUCCCAGUCUGAAAUCAAAAGACAUGAAAAGAGUUGACAAUGUUUUCUUUAUCCAUUCCAGUUCCCAAGAACUUUGUUGGGAACUGGUGAAAUGAUUGUCAUAAUACAAAUAAUAAAAAAGUCUUUUGACUUUAAGGCUCUCCAUGAUUCUGAGAAAAGUGGGUUUGAUCAGUAGUAUUGUGGAAAAGGGAUGAAAAAAGUGUCAUACCAUGAGUGGAUGUGCAGCAGCAGCAUCAGGGAACAGAACAGGAGUGUUGUUUUGUGCAACACAAAGCUGUUCUUGUUGUUGUCUAUGUUUGAGUGCAAGUGCUUUGGCGAUUUCAGAGGUAGAGAGACUCCAGGAUCUUGAGAGAAACUCCAUAGGCUCUUUUGGUGUCUGAGGCUGUGGAAUGGAUGAGAAAAGCUCUUCAGCUUCUUCCAGCUCUUCCUCCAUGUUCUCUGAUCCAAACAAGGAA